GCACUCGUAGCUCAAUUGGAUAGAGCAUCUGACUACGGAUCAGAAGGUUGGGGGUUCGACUCCCUCCGAGUGUACCA
rnacentral:tRNA from 1 species